rnacentral:rRNA from 1 species
UACGUAGGUGGCGAGCGUUGUCCGGAAUUACUGGGUGUAAAGGGCGUGUAGGCGGGAUUAUAAGUCGGAUGUGAAAUUCCGAGGCUCAACUUCGGAGCUGCAUCUGAAACUAUAAUUCUUGAGUACUGGAGAGGAUAGUGGAAUUCCUAGUGUAGCGGUGAAAUGCGUAGAUAUUAGGAGGAACACCAGUGGCGAAGGCGGCUAUCUGGACAGUAACUGACGCUGAGGCGCGAAAGCGUGGGGAGCAAACAGG